rnacentral:lncRNA from 1 species
GUGAGUGGUUGCUAAGUGUGGAGUCAGCAGUAGACUGGGAACAGGAGGGCAGAGGGCCUGGCAAGAGCCCAUGGGGGUUUCCCGGGGUUUCCAAAGAGGCUUCCAGUUGGGUGUCCACCAGAUCACACCCACAGAAACCACUUCUUCCCUCCAGAAACUUCCCAGACCUCUUACCACCACACAAGGGAUUUAAGAACUGAACAAUCUUUUGGGGAUGUCCAGUAAAGGGAAUGGUGAGGCGGCUCCAAAAGGAAACAAAGGGAGUGUUUAGCUGGUUGGUGAGCUCAGGUAUCAGUCCCAGAGAGCCGAUUUCUCUGCUUUGCUUUGUCUGUUAGUACUCAUUUUGCUUUGCAACCAGAAACACAUUUCAGUUUGAAAUUGUACCCAGGCUGCACCCUCCCUCUCCGACGUUAGGGUGCACCCACUCUUCUCAGGCCCAAUCAGGCAGCGAUGUGCCUUGCAUCCAGACAAGGAGUAAAUAUCAUUCUGGAGCCCUCAGUGAAUAUCAUUCUGGAGUAAUAGCUUCUUCAUAAUAAGGACUUACAAGUAACUCAUUACCUCCUCACCAGCCAAAAAUACUCAUUUCUCCAGGGCACAUCUACAAGACGGAAACUUGGUAUGGUUAACAGGACAAACGACUGCCACUACAGCUGGACAUAAGGAUGCAACUGAUACCCAUUAUCUACCUCCUAGACUAUCCAUUCUGGAUUUCCCCACCCUUAACUAUGAGCUCUGCUGUCUUGGUGGCUAAUGUCCUGGUGUGAUGCAGACCAUCCGUAAAGGAUCUGAGCCCUUGGUCACCAUGUCCUUCUCAGUGGGAGUUGCUGAACUUACCCACUUGCCAAUAGAGAUGAGCAAAGGAGUGCCCAAAAGCACCUAUGUGGAUCACUUGGCAUGUGUGUCUUAACUGAAGCCUCCAGUUGCAUCUUGCUCAUCCAGUCCAACUCAUCCAGCCUGAUUAGCACAGUAUCAUCGAGCUACUGAAUCCAUGUGAUGUUUUGUAAACGAAGAUUGCUUCAGACUCUGUCAUGAUGGAGGGCAUAAAAGAACACAACCCGGGACAACACUGUAAAACUAUGUUAGUGUAUCACUGCCCAUUCCAUGUGCAUGUGAACUCUUUAUGAUCCUCUUUUUGAUCAGAAUAGAAAGAACAUAUUCACCAAAUUAGGAGCUGCAUACGAUGUAUCUGAGGCCAUGUUAAUCUGCCGUAGCAAAGAGGCCAGAACAGGCACAGGAGCUGCAAUUAGGGAUAGUAGUGGGUUGGCUUUGGGGUAGUCUACUGUUAUCCUCCCAGAAUCUGGGUUCUUCCGGCACAAGACUGGUGACUUCAAUGAAGAAGUGAUGGGCAUCUCCCCGCUACCCACUCACUCAUUCUCUAGAUUAGGGCUGGCAAGCUAUGAGCUGACCUGUUUUAUAAAUAAAAGUUUUUUGG